UAAACAUUGAUAGCACUACACACCUGCUAUCCGCCCGGGAACUACAAGCACCAGCUUAAAACCCAAAGGACUUGGCGGUGCUUAAAAUCCACCUAGAGGAGCCUGUUCUAGAACCGAUAACCCCCGUUCAACCUCACCCUCCCUUGUUAACCCCGCUUAUAUACCGCCGUCGUCAGCCUACCCCGUGAGGGUUUUAUAGUAAGCUCAAUUGGCAUAGCCCAAAACGUCAGGUCGAGGUGUAGCGUAUGAGAGGGAAAGAAAUGGGCUACAUUCCCUAAAAUAGUGAAUACGAAUUAUGUGCUGAAAUAAACAUCUAAAGGAGGAUUUAGCAGUAAAUAGAAAACAGAGUGUUCUACUGAAAUAGGCCCUAAAGCGCGCACACACCGCCCGUCACUCUCCCCAAGCCUCAAAAACCUAGAUAAAUUAAACAUUAAAACUGCUAAGGGGAGGCAAGUCGUAACAUGGUAAGUGUACCAGAAGGUGCACUUGGUAUAAU
rnacentral:rRNA from 1 species